UACGUAGGGGGCAAGCGUUGUCCGGAAUCAUUGGGCGUAAAGAGCGUGUAGGCGGUUUGGUAAGUCCGCUGUGAAAGUCCAGGGCUCAACCCUGGAAAGCCGGUGGAAACUGUCAAGCUUGAGUCCGGAAGAGGCGAGUGGAAUUCCUGGUGUAGCGGUGAAAUGCGCAGAUAUCAGGAGGAACACCAAUGGCGAAGGCAGCUCGCUGGGACGGUACUGACGCUGAGACGCGAAAGCGUGGGGAGCAAACAGG
rnacentral:rRNA from 1 species